AGCGCCAAGUGAGGCCAAAAAGUGGUGGACGUUAUGCAAGGAGAAAAAGAUCAACAAAAAUCAUGUACGGGAAAGGGAUUGCUUGUGUGUCAGGGGAGCCGGGAAUUGGCAAGACAGAACUUCUUCUGGAAUUUGCCUAUAGAUAUCAACAGAGGUACAAGAUGGUUUUAUGGAUUGGAGGAGAAAGCAGGUAUAUUAGGCAGAAUUAUCUAAAUCUCUGUUCAUUCUUAGAAGUUGAUGCGGGGGUUGAUAAUUUCUCAGAGAAAGGCAGGAUAAAAAGCUUUGAGGAGCAAGAAGAGGAAGCCAUUUAUGGAGUUCGGAAAGAGCUCAUGAGAAAUAUACCUUUUUUGGUGGUGAUUGAUAAUUUGGAGAGUGAAAAGGACUGGUGGGAUCACAAACUUGUAAUG
rnacentral:misc_RNA from 1 species